rnacentral:rRNA from 1 species
GUCCACACUGUAAACGAUGAAUGCUAGGUGUAGGGGGUAUCGACCCCUUCUGUGCCGCAGUCAACACAAUAAGCAUUCCGCCUGGGGAGUACGGCCGCAAGGUUGAAACUCAAAGGAAUUGACGGGGGCCCCGCACAAGCAGCGGAGCAUGUGGUUUAAUUCGACGCAACGCGAAGAACCUUACCAGGUCUUGACAUCCACUUAAACUUACAGAGAUGUAAGGUGUGCUUGCACAAAGUGAGACAGGUGGUGCAUGGUUGUCGU